CCAGAAAGAUAACGGAGGUUGUUUAGAUGCUUUGGGAGCAUAAGGUCGCAGGUUCGAAUCCUGCUUUCUGGA
rnacentral:tRNA from 1 species